CCUACGGGAGGCAGCAGUAGGGAAUCUUUCACAAUGGGCGAAAGCCUGAUGGAGCAACGCCGCGUGCAGGAUGAAGGCCUUCGGGUUGUAAACUGCUUUUAUAAGCGAGAAAUAUGAUGGUAACUUAUGAAUAAGGCUCGGCUAACUACGUGCCAGCGGCCGCGGUCAUACGUAGGAUCCGAGCAUUAUCCGGAGUGACUGGGUGUAAAGAGUUGCGUAGGUGGCAUAAUAAGUAGCUAGUGAAAUCUGGUGGCUCAACCAUUCAGACUAUUAGCUAAACUGUUAAGCUCGAGACCGUUAGGGGUAACUGGAAUUUCUAGUGUAGGAGUGAAAUCCGUAGAUAUUAGAAGGAACACCAAUAGCGUAGGCAGGUUGCUGGGACGGUUCUGACACUAAGGCACGAAAGCGUAGGGAGCAAACGGGAUUAGAUACCCCUGUAGUC
rnacentral:rRNA from 1 species